GGAAUGUAUUGGAAGGCUCUCUCGGACUCAUUCAACGGAUGUGAGGUUGAGGCGCUGAGUUUGAAAAUGGGCGGAAAUCAUGUAGUUCCAGAACGCUAGCAGCUUCGCCCUCUCACUGGGAAGCAGGUGCUUGGACUUGAGAUUUCAUCGGAUUCCCUCAAAGGGGGUGAGGCCAUUCCAUAAAAGGAAAUUCAGAUGCUCUAAGGGCGGAAGAAUGGCUAGAGAGCAGCUGAAACCCAACACACAUCCACAGCGGCAGCUGCCGAUUUACCAGCUCUCUGGAGACAACAGGCCGAGUUCAUCCUGGCCGAGGGACAGCGUGACGGACUGAUUCUCUCUGGUCACAGCAAUCACGGCUUUCCUUGUUCAGGACAUCUGACUGGCAUUAGGGACCGGCCAGCCAGUCAGCUGAAUACAGAUUAUCCACAACCAUGAUGUGUUAUAUGCUGAGCGUGCUUACAGCUAGAAGCCUGAAAUCUUCUCUCUUCACUUGCCAUUUAGAAGUCCAAUGUGGGAUUUACAUAUAUUUUUAAAAACCUCAGUUUUAAAAAAUUUAGUGUUUAAAAGCUAUGACAUGCAAAAACUUCCAAAUAAUUUAUAAAACCAGUUUUUGUGGCUCGGCAUGGUAGCUCACGCCUGUC